rnacentral:rRNA from 1 species
CCCCUAAGGCGAGGCCGAAAGGCGUAGUCGAUGGGAAACAGGUUAAUAUUCCUGUACUUGGUGUUACUGCGAAGGGGGGACGGAGAAGGCUAUGUUGGUCGGGCGACGGUUGUCCCGGUUUAAGCGUGUAGGCUGGUUUUCCAGGCAAAUCCGGAAAAUCAAGGCUGAGGCGUGAUGACGAGGCACUACGGUGCUGAAGCAACAAAUGCCCUGCUUCCAGGAAAAGCCUCUAAGCAUCAGGUAACAUCAAAUCGUACCCCAAACCGACACAGGUGGUCAGGUAGAGAAUACCAAGGCGCUUGAGAGAACUCGGGUGAAGGAACUAGGCAAAAUGGUGCCGUAACUUCGGGAGAAGGCACGCUGAUAUGUAGGUGAAGUCCCUCGCGGAUGGAGCUGAAAUCAGUCGAAGAUACCAGCUGGCUGCAACUGUUUAUUAAAAACACAGCACUGUGCAAACACGAAAGUGGACGUAUACGGUGUGACGCCUGCCCGGUGCCGGAAGGUUAAUUGAUGGGGUCAGCGCAAGCGAAGCUCUUGAUCGAAGCCCCGGUAAACGGCGGCCGUAACUAUAACGGUCCUAAGGUAGCGAAAUUCCUUGUCGGGUAAGUUCCGACCUGCACGAAUGGCGUAAUGAUGGCCAGGCUGUCUCCACCCGAGACUCAGUGAAAUUGAACUCGCUGUGAAGAUGCAGUGUACCCGCGGCAAGACGGAAAGACCCCGUGAACCUUUACUAUAGCUUGACACUGAACAUUGAGCCUUGAUGUGUAGGAUAGGUGGGAGGCUUUGAAGUGUGGACGCCAGUCUGCAUGGAGCCGACCUUGAAAUACCACCCUUUAAUGUUUGAUGUUCUAACGUUGACCCGUAAUCCGGGUUGCGGACAGUGUCUGGUGGGUAGUUUGACUGGGGCGGUCUCCUCCUAAAGAGUAACGGAGGAGCACGAAGGUUGGCUAAUCCUGGUCGGACAUCAGGAGGUUAGUGCAAUGGCAUAAGCCAGCUUGACUGCGAGCGUGACGGCGCGAGCAGGUGCGAAAGCAGGUCAUAGUGAUCCGGUGGUUCUGAAUGGAAGGGCCAUCGCUCAACGGAUAAAAGGUACUCCGGGGAUAACAGGCUGAUACCGCCCAAGAGUUCAUAUCGACGGCGGUGUUUGGCACCUCGAUGUCGGCUCAUCACAUCCUGGGGCUGAAGUAGGUCCCAAGGGUAUGGCUGUUCGCCAUUUAAAGUGGUACGCGAGCUGGGUUUAGAACGUCGUGAGACAGUUCGGUCCCUAUCUGCCGUGGGCGCUGGAGAACUGAGGGGGGCUGCUCCUAGUACGAGAGGACCGGAGUGGACGCAUCACUGGUGUUCGGGUUGUCAUGCCAAUGGCACUGCCCGGUAGCUAAAUGCGGAAGAGAUAAGUGCUGAAAGCAUCUAAGCACGAAACUUGCCCCGAGAUGAGUUCUCCCUGACCCUUUAAGGGUCCUGAAGGAACGUUGAAGACGACGACGUUGAUAGGCCGGGUGUGUAAGCGCAGCGAUGCGUUGAGCUAACCGGUACUAAUGAACCGUGAGGCUUAACC